UACGGAGGGUGCGAGCGUUGUCCGGAAUCACUGGGCGUAAAAGGCGCGUCGGCGGCGAGGAUAGUCAACGGUGAAAGCUUGGGGCUCAACCCCGAGUCGGCCGUCGAUACUUCCUUGCUUGAGCACUGUAGAGGCAGAUGGAAUUCCGGGUGUAGCGGUGGAAUGCGUAGAGAUCCGGAAGAACACCGGUGGCGAAGGCGGUCUGCUGGGCAGUAGCUGACGCUGAGGCGCGACAGCGUGGGGAGCAAACAGG
rnacentral:rRNA from 1 species